rnacentral:rRNA from 1 species
CGGAGGCAGCAGUGGGGAAUUUUGGACAAUGGGGGCAACCCUGAUCCAGCCAUGCCGCGUGUGUGAAGAAGGCCUUCGGGUUGUAAAGCACUUUCGGACGGAACGAAAUCGCGCGAUCUAACAAGCCGCGUGGAUGACGGUACCGUAAGAAGAAGCACCGGCUAACUACGUGCCAGCAGCCGCGGUAAUACGUAGGGUGCGAGCGCUAAUCGGAAUUACUGGGCGUAAAGUGUGCGCAGGCGGCCGAGCAAGUCGAGUGUGAAAGCCCCGGGCUUAACUUGGGAAUUGCGCUCGAAACUACUUGGCUGGAGUGUGGCAGAGGAAGGUGGAAUUCCACGUGUAGCGGUGAAAUGCGUAGAGAUGUGGAGGAACACCAAUGGCGAAGGCAGCCUUCUGGGCCAACACUGACGCUCAUGCACGAAAGCGUGGGGAGCAAACAGGAUUAGAUACCCUUGUAGUCGA